AUGGUCUACUUGAUGGCUUCACAUGCCACAACCUUGGAGUUGCAUGCGCCAUUACCCGAGCUCGAAUUCCUGAGAGGUUUGCGGACAUGCCCGAUGUUGAGCAACCUCAUGAGUCUGGUACUGGGCGACUGGUGCACGGCUGCUGACUUCUACCCGCUGCUUCACAUUCUCCAGCGCUCGCCCAAGCUGAAGGAGCUAACUUUAAAGCUCGAAAUGGAGGAAUGUAGAAGAUGCAAGGGUUCGGAAUCCGCUUUGCCAGCAUCAAGAGCAGCGUCAGGCUCAGGCAGAUAUCCUUGCAUUUGA
rnacentral:rRNA from 1 species